GGUUAAGCUACGAAGGGCGCACGGAGGAUGCCUUGGCGCCAGGUGCCGAUGAAGGACGGGGCAAACGCCGAUACGCUUCGGGGAGUCGUAAGCAGACUUUGAUCCGGAGAUUUCCGAAUGGGGAAACCCACUACUCGUAAUGGAGUAGUACUGUACACUGAAUCCAUAGGUGUAUAGAGGUACACCAGGGGAACUGAAACAUCUAAGUACCCUGAGGAAGAGAAAACAAUAGUGAUUCCCUAAGUAGCGGCGAGCGAACGGGGAGUAGCCCAAACCGUACGGCUUCGGUUGUACGGGGUUGCGGGGCGUUCCAUCAGGUAGGUUGUUUGGGUAGGAGAAGGGUCUGGAAAGGCCCACCGAAGAGAGUGAAAGUCUCGUAUCUAAAACGCAAACACCGCCGGAGCGAUACCCCAAGUACCGCGGGACACGAGAAAUCCCGUGGGAAUCAAGGAGGACCACCUCCUAAGGCUAAAUACUACCUGGCGACCGAUAGUGAACCAGUACCGUGAGGGAAAGGUGAAAAGCACCGCGGGAGCGGAGUGAAAAAGAACCUGAAACCGUGUGCCUACAAUCAGUCGGAGGGCGUUCAUGCCUGACGGCGUGCCUUUUGUAGAAUGAACCGGCGAGUUACGAUCGCGAGCGAGGUUAAGGUGAGAAGCCGGAGCCGUAGCGAAAGCGCGUCUGAAGAGGGCGAAAGUUCUCGGUCGUAGACCCGAAACCGGGUGAUCUACCCCUGGACAGGUUGAAGUUGCAGUAAAAUGCAAUGGAGGACCGAACCCACGCACGUUGAAAAGUGCGGGGAUGAGCUGGGGGUAGCGGUGAAAUUCCAAUCGAACCCGGAGAUAGCUGGUUCUCCCCGAAAUAGCUUUAGGGCUAGCGUUAGAGU
rnacentral:rRNA from 1 species